rnacentral:ncRNA from 1 species
AACAGGUGCUCGGGUUCACUCCCGGGUUAAACGGGAACAGGGUGCAAUGCCCUGGCUGCCCCCGCAACGGUAAACAGAUAAAUCCGACUCGAGGCUCUUGCAUGCAGUGCAAUGGCCAGCCACUGAUGUUUUACGUGGCCUCAACAUGAGGUGCGCGGCAACAUUGGGAAGGCGAGCGGCAAGCCCAAAGCCAUCUGUGAGCCCGGAUACCGGCCUGUUU